UUGUCUGUAUCGCGAAGUUUGG
rnacentral:miRNA from 15 species